rnacentral:rRNA from 1 species
GACGAACGCUGGCGGCGUGCUUAACACAUGCAAGUCGAACGAAGAGCGACGGAAGCUUGCUUCUAUCAAUCUUAGUGGCGAACGGGUGAGUAACGCGUAAUCAACCUGCCCUUCAGAGGGGGACAACAGUUGGAAACGACUGCUAAUACCGCAUACGAUCUAAUCUCGGCAUCGAGGAUGGAUAAAAGGUGGCCUCUACAUGUAAGCUAUCACUGAAGGAGGGGAUUGCGUCUGAUUAGCUAGUUGGAGGGGUAACGGCCCACCAAGGCGAUGAUCAGUAGCCGGUCUGAGAGGAUGAACGGCCACAUUGGGACUGAGACACGGCCCAGACUCCUACGGGAGGCAGCAGUGGGGAAUCUUCCGCAAUGGACGAAAGUCUGACGGAGCAACGCCGCGUGAGUGAUGACGGCCUUCGGGUUGUAAAGCUCUGUUAAUCGGGACGAAAGGCCUUCUUGCGAAUAGUGAGAAGGAUUGACGGUACCGGAAUAGAAAGCCACGGCUAACUACGUG